AUUCUGCCCAAGCGGGGAAGGAUGAGAAGCUUCGACUAAGGUUCGGCUCGAGCGUCAGCGAGAGAGCGUUGCCGCAGGCAACGACCCGAAGGGCGAAGCGCGCAGCGCUGAGUAAUCCUUCCCCCACCACCA
rnacentral:sRNA from 2 species